UGCAGCAAUACCGUACUGAUUUGGGUACGAGCCGAAGCCUCAUUAAAGGAUAAUAUAGGCCCUCCAUACCCUACUCUGACUCAAUACGUCCACGGCGUACAGAACGGUAACAUAUCUUUCAAAAUAUCUGAGCUUGAGUAUACGUGGAAAUCCAACCUUUUGGGAAGAUGGACGGAUGGACCUUAAUUGAACAGC
rnacentral:ribozyme from 1 species